rnacentral:rRNA from 1 species
UACGUAGGGUGCAAGCGUUGUCCGGAAUUAUUGGGCGUAAAGAGCUCGUAGGCGGUUUGUUGCGUCGGCUGUGAAAUCCCGAGGCUCAACCUCGGGUCUGCAGUCGAUACGAGCAAACUAGAGUGUUGCAGGGGAGACUGGAAUUCCUGGUGUAGCGGUGAAAUGACGCAGAUAUCAGGAGGAACACCGGUGGCGAAGGCGGGUCUCUGGGCAACAACUGGCGCUGAGGAGCGAAAGCCGUGGGGAGCGAACAGG